rnacentral:rRNA from 1 species
UACAUAGGGUGCGAGCGUUAAUCGGAAUUACUGGGCGUAAAGCGUGCGCAGGCGGUUCUCCAAGUCCGUUGUGAAAGCCCCGGGCUCAACCUGGGAAUGGCAGUGGAAACUAGGGGACUUGAAUCUGGCAGAGGGGGGUGGAAUUCCACGUGUAGCAGUGAAAUGCGUAGAGAUGUGGAGGAACACUGACGGCGAAGGCAGCCCCCUGGGCUGAGAUUGACGCUCAGGCACGAAAGCGUGGGGAGCAAACAGG